rnacentral:rRNA from 1 species
GGGCCCGCACAAGCGGAGGAGCAUGUGGUUUAAUUCGAUGAUACGCGAGGAACCUUACCCGGGCUUGAAAGUUAUGGAAUGAUGUGGAAACAUGUCAGUCAGCAAUGACCAGAAACUAGGUGCUGCAUGGCUGUCGUCAGCUCGUGCCGUGAGGUGUUAGGUUAAGUCCUGCAACGAGCGCAACCCCUAUCAUUAGUUGCCAUCAGGUUAAGCUGGGGACUCUAAUGAGACUGCCCGCGCAAGCGGUGAGGAAGGUGGGGAUGACGUCAAGUCAUCACGGCCCUUACGUCCGGGGCUACACACGUGCUACAAUGGCAGGUACAAUGGGCAGCUACAUGGCAACAUGAUGCUAAUCUCCAAAGCCUGUCUCAGUUCGGAUUGAGGUCUGCAACUCGACCUCAUGAAGCUGGAUUCGCUAGUAAUCGUACAUCAGCAAUGGUACGGUGAAUACGUUCCCGGGCCUU